rnacentral:rRNA from 1 species
CAGGGGUACUCGAGUGGCGAACGGGUGAGUAACACGUGGGUGAUCUGCCCUGCACUUCGGGAUAAGCCUGGGAAACUGGGUCUAAUACCGGAUAGGACGAUGGUUUGGAUGCCAUUGUGGAAAGUUUUUCGGUGUGGGAUGAGCCCGCGGCCUAUCAGCUUGUUGGUGGGGUAAUGGCCUACCAAGGCGUCGACGGGUAGCCGGCCUGAGAGGGUGUACGGCCACAUUGGGACUGAGAUACGGCCCAG